GGGGCUACAGCUCAGCUGGGAGAGCGCCUGCCUUGCACGCAGGAGGUCAGCGGUUCGAUCCCGCUUAGCUCCACCA
rnacentral:tRNA from 1 species